GACUUGUAACUGAGAUAUUUUUUAUUAUUAUUAUAACUAGUUAGAUAUUAUUAAGAUAAUUCAUAAAUAUUACGAGUGUAGCUCGUAAUCAUUUUGGAUUCAGUCCAAGGUGAGUAAUUGACUAAGUUAAUUGAAGUUAAUUUUUUGAUGGUGAAAAAUAAUAUAUGGUAUAUUAAGUCUGGAGCAAUACUCUAAUCUCUUAUCUGCUCACUCUUUGAGGAUUCCCCACUAGUGACGAUUACAUUUUAGUCAUUAUUGUGUCCAAUCACCAGUUGAAAGAUUUUUUGUAUUGCUUUCUCUAACAAUGUUCUUGGAUUCACAGCUCCUUAUCAUUCAGAUCAAGUUCUACAUCAAAUCAACUAAGCUAAUGGUGAGAGAAAAACCAAGUACGACUUUGAGCAUGAUGGAGGAUGGCAUGAGAUUGACGGCAAAGGCAAUGACGGAUGGAGACGGUGAUAGCAGACAACGCUGUGCUCUUCCACCUGGUCCUGCGAUAUUGAUGAUGUGGUUGUUAUUCAUCUUCUUCAGUACGAUUCCUUCUGAGAUGUGAUGGCUCUUUGUCCUGGUUCUGUGACGGUGAUGAUUGUUCUAGUGAAGAUGAUGCUGGUGAUUCAUCAAUUUCUUACCACCAUUGAAAGCUGAUUUUCCCUCUACAGUGUUCACUUUCGUCCUCUUUGAUUUCUCAUCUUCUCCAUUUCAAAUCAGGACACUCAAGAAGUAGAGUCAAGAGUUAAGACUAAGGAAGUGCAGUACACAAGAGGCAAUAUUAACAUUUCUGCCAGGUUUCACCAUGGCGAAAUAUAGAACUUCUACUAGAGACCUCUCGGCCAUGGUUCGCCACGUCGAAACCAUACCUUUGUUGUGGUGAACUCUUCGAAUCAGCAACCCGACCCAAACCAUUUUCAGAAAUUUUACCUACCUACUCAUACAAACCAACCCAGUACACCUCACUACCGGUUUAGAAAACCUAUUUCAGUGUAAGUGACAUCAUUCAUUCCUGUCACAGCCUCCAUCUCUGUUCUCUCUCAUCCUUCUCUCAUCUAACCCUAAUCUCUUCCAUUUUCCACUAUCAAACCUCCACCAUGGGAAGCUCAGAUUCAUUCCUAGUUGAGAUACUUCAGAUUUCCA